AAGGAAAUCACAGCCAUACGGGCUACACUCCCCCAGCUGAACUGUAUCUGCGUUUUCAACGGUGAGAGGACAGACUCUAUAUGGCGACGAGCUCCUCCCUCCGCCCUGCCUCAUCUGUCAGCCAUUAGUUAAUCAGAGCUGCUAAGACGGCGCACAGGGAGCUGGCACAAGGCGUGGGACCAGAGGACAGCUUCACCUCCGAGAGCCAGGAGAGGGCAAGGACUCUGGGACCUCUCGUUCACUGAUCCACAGCUGGGCUGCUUCACUCACCAGCACCCACUCAGGGCUGAAAGACACACAACCUCAAGAAGACCCCGCCCACUUCUUCACAGUACACAGGUGAGCCAAAAGGGACACAUGGAAACAGUUAAGCAUCAGAAAGAAACUCGACUUAAUAUCUUGUCAUUCGGCCAAUGCGCCAAACAAACGGUUAAUACAUCACAGAGAAUUUCCAUCUGUUCAACGAUCAGAUGCACUGAUCACUAAGGCCUUAAGCUGUACCUUAACAUUAUUUAAUCCAGUGAGAACCAUAAUUACACUACAAAAGAUGUUCUGUAGGGUGAUAAAAGCAGGAUGUUUUCAUGGAUUAAUAAAAAAAAAUAUACAGAGCCUCUUAAACUUCAUACAGUGAAAAGCCCGUUCUGUCAAAGCAAAGGAUAAACUAACGUUCAUAUCGGAUAUAGUGUGCAAAACUACACCUUUAAAGUCGCAUCUGUACGACUUAUUCGCGAUCACCUCAAAAGAAAUAAUGCAUUGUUAAAUGGAAAAAAAAAAAAAACUGCUAAAAGGUGAUUUAAAGCGCUUUCUAAACAAGACCAUAUCUUUAAAACGUGAGAGCCAAGGUGGAAUUCCAGGCACAUUGCAGCACACUCCUAAUGCAAGAGGAUGGUAAUACCAAGCAUAUGGCAACUGGAGUUACGUAGACGCUUCAAAAGAGGUGGGUGCUGGAUGGAGCAAGAACAAACUUGCAAGUGUUCACUGUGUUAACAGAAGUGCAGAAUUAUACCCUGGGCUAUGCCGGUGUCAAGGUUGUCUGUCUGCUCCUUAUAAGGCCAAUGUAUCGCCUAUGCAAAAAAAUGAUCUAUGCCGCUUUGUUAGAAUAACCAAGUGAUAACUGGGAAGUGAAUGUGCUUGUAGAUAAUGUCAUCAGUAUCACUGUGUUCUCUUCAAGUGCAGAUCAGAGGAGGGAGAUUGAGACAAGCGGGAGGAAGAUUAACAAAAAAAAAAAGUCCUGGAACAUCGAGGCUGCUUCUCUGUUCAGUCUUGUUUUGCGAGAAGUCAAAACAACACAUGUUGUGAGAGUGAGAACAGCUGGUACGUGCGACGUCAUGGGGCAGUGGAAUGUCAGAAGUCAUAGAUCUUUUAUCCACCAGUGCUUUCCACAGCCACCCAGACCUCUCCAAACCAAGCUCAGGGACAAUAUGAGAUUCCAGCAAUGGCGUUUGUGACUUAUCUCGUACAAUGCCUCGUCAUACCAGACAUUUUGAACCGUGGAAAUCAUAGUAUGUGUUAAACAGAGACAAAAAAAGGGGGGGGGAGAAUGCAGUGCAGAUGAAGUGUUUCCAAAUGCUAAGUAUUAAGUAGUAAAGUUACAAAAUCUUAAGAUGAACUGCAGAUGGGAGAAGAUGUUCUUUUUCAUUAUUUGUCCCAAGAUAUAGUGGAUUAUAUUGUAUAAUGUGGAAAUAAUUCCCUUCGCGUCCCAGCAAAUGCCACUCCUGACAGUGCACUUGUGAUUGGCUCAAACUAAACAGCAUAUUCUGAACUCCAUGCCAAAGUUUGACACUGCCAUCUCCAAGGAGUUAAAUAAACACCUGGUCGAGGAGGCAUAUACAGUUUCCUUUUUAAGUCAACACCAGUCAGAAAAGAUACACCAAGCAACCAUAAGUCAAUACAAAAUGACAAAACAGGCAAGUUUUACCGUCUGUCUAAACAUUCCACUGAGAGCGUUUUCCAUUACCAUGUUAUACUGAAACAUCCGCUAGUGCUUAUAUGAACCCCACGCUGCAGAUGGACAAAAAAGGAUUUUUAAAAAAGAAAAAGAAAAAUCAAAUUCCUGAUGACAGAACUUGAAAAACACAAAGGGCAGGCCAGUUAUAAAGUAGUGACCUUUGACACAACACGUCCAAGUCUGACUCCCUCUUCCUGCUAAAUGUUACACAGCUGCUUUUUUAAUCUGUCAGAGCAACUAGUUUACCACAGUUUGCGAAGAGUAAAGGAUGGGAAAGCUCUGAGAACGUCUUCAUCUUACAAGACACUUAUUAUUACUGUUAUUAAGAUCCACGUAUCUGCUGUAUGUGUGUUUUAUUACCACGUAACUACAAGUAUAACACUCAUGAAAAGUAUUCCUUUUGUAGCACCUGACCACCCAUACUACAUAACUACAUCCACUGGAUCUAUUUUUGAAGCUCUGCUGGGCUAAAUCUAUGGCUGUUAGUCUUCACAACGGACUCUUAAAGGAGUCUGAAAUAAUGCACAUCAGGUAGUAAAGUCCUUUAAGAUUCCAGAAGGAGGCGCUUGGAGAUUUGACAAACAAAAGAAAAAGCAAUAGCAGGUAACAAGAGACAAAUACAGCCAACAAGUAGUUGCAAACAGCAACUUCUCAAAAGUUAAAAUGCCAAAACAUCAUCACACUUCUAUACAGCUGCUUCACUUGAUCAAUUAAUUAUUAUUUCAUGUUUUCAGUUUCUCAAAUGUGAGGAUUUGCUGCUUCAUUUUGUCUUACAUUUCAGUAAAUUAUCAAUAUUUAAUUUAGUAAAUGCAACCACUUAAAACUCUGGGAAAUGUGGGAAGACUAUGGUGGGUGCACCAAUACACUUAAAAGGUGAAUUCCUUUCCUUUGAAUGUUGUUUUUUGAUUUUUGUUGCAAGCGGCAAAGACAUUGGAAGAAAUGUUUCAGAUGCGUGAGAGCAUCAUGUACACACUCACAGACUGAAAAGUCCUCACACCUGCGGUCCAGUGAACACAAGACUACGCAUGAAGAAACAGACCUGACAGGUAGACCUUGAACCCCUCCGACUAAGUACGACACAUUCAGAAAAACAGAACAAGGUGAGUACAACUGAUCCCAAACCCUCUCCACUGUUUGCUAAAGCCUCAUACGAGCAGGAGUUUGUGAAGAACUCACUGGAAGUUACAGCUGAAAUGAAGAACCAUGUUACUUACCAUGGCUGACAACACCUAAUAUAUCACUGUCUCUCUCAUAAAAGACAUAUUGAGUUUCACUUUCCCAAUACACUCCAUCGGCUUGAGGUUAAAACAACUUUCUAAUGUUUGACCAACAAGUUGAGGAAAAGCAGGCGCUUUCUACCUGUGUCAAAGUGAGGCCAUGUUCCCCAUCAUUGGUAGUUCUUGGGGUAGAGCGACCUAAGUGCUUCCAGACAUUCACGCCCUGUCUCCUUUCAUUUCAUCUCUUUGCAUCUCUCCAACAAAAUAACAUCUACCCUCCGAGGUUCCUCACUUCAUGUCUUCCACUGUCUGAAAAAAAUGCUGAUGCUUUUCACUGAGUAAAAUGCACGGUGCUUCCAAGUCAACUCUUGUUUCUUUAGGUUGAGUUUCACUCGCACAAGGACAAGAUUGGUAUCAUCAUGUAACUGCUCUUUGAGCUACAGCGAGCUGUGAUGACGUCUGUAUUAGACUGUGCAAUACGGUAACCCCUUUUCUCCUUCAGCCAUGCUCGAUCCAAACACAUUAACCAACAUCUCGCUACAAUCUGUUUUUCUUUGCCUGCAAAAAAGCAGGCCGCUGUGCUCGUCUUCAGACCACUUUUGCUUUCUCUCAAAGGCCAAAGUAAAACAUUAUCUCCCAACUCAGAUUCUAAAUGAAGGCUUGGCAAGAACCACAAUGGAGAGGACUAGGGGCAUGGGUGGGCUGACUGAUCCAGCCACCGCUUUAAUUGGUCACACUCGACUGGCGCAUGGGCAGGAUGAGGAAACACAAGCUCAAUGAUGUCAUGACCAACUGACCCCGGGGUGACAGGUUUGGAGAUUGUUCUUGCCCACAACCCUCAGGCCAAAGUCAAGUGUGGCAAUGUUGCACAUGUGGAUUUCAUCUGAAGCAGCGUGAUUAGUUCACAGAUGCUCAACUGUGAUUCCCCCACCAUGGGAAACCCUCUCUGGACAGGAAACGCUAUGUUUUUGUAAGCAACAAACAGGCAUAAAUUACUAAAAUGGUGCCUCCGUAACCAAUUUAUCACACAGAGCCUCAUUGUUUUUAAUUCUUCAAAUUUGACCUCGACAUUGCUUUUAAGGUAGUAUAAUUUGUUCAUAAUAUUUACAUUCUGCUUCUUGGUUUAUCUAAACUGUGCGUCUGCUAUGCUCAUGCUGUGCAAUAAACGUGAUAAUUGUU